AGAGUUUGAUCAUGGCUCAGAUUGAACGCUGGCGGCAGGCCUAACACAUGCAAGUCGAGCGGUAGCACAGAGAGCUUGCUCUCGGGUGACGAGCGGCGGACGGGUGAGUAAUGUCUGGGAAACUGCCUGAUGGAGGGGGAUAACUACUGGAAACGGUAGCUAAUACCGCAUAACGUCGCAAGACCAAAGAGGGGGACCUUCGGGCCUCUUGCCAUCAGAUGUGCCCAGAUGGGAUUAGCUAGUAGGUGGGGUAACGGCUCACCUAGGCGACGAUCCCUAGCUGGUCUGAGAGGAUGACCAGCCACACUGGAACUGAGACACGGUCCAGACUCCUACGGGAGGCAGCAGUGGGGAAUAUUGCACAAUGGGCGCAAGCCUGAUGCAGCCAUGCCGCGUGUAUGAAGAAGGCCUUCGGGUUGUAAAGUACUUUCAGCGGGGAGGAAGGCGAUAAGGUUAAUAACCUUGUCGAUUGACGUUACCCGCAGAAGAAGCACCGGCUAACUCCGUGCCAGCAGCCGCGGUAAUACGGAGGGUGCAAGCGUUAAUCGGAAUUACUGGGCGUAAAGCGCACGCAGGCGGUCUGUCAAGUCGGAUGUGAAAUCCCCGGGCUCAACCUGGGAACUGCAUUCGAAACUGGCAGGCUAGAGUCUUGUAGAGGGGGGUAGAAUUCCAGGUGUAGCGGUGAAAUGCGUAGAGAUCUGGAGGAAUACCGGUGGCGAAGGCGGCCCCCUGGACAAAGACUGACGCUCAGGUGCGAAAGCGUGGGGAGCAAACAGGAUUAGAUACCCUGGUAGUCCACGCCGUAAACGAUGUCGACUUGGAGGUUGUGCCCUUGAGGCGUGGCUUCCGGAGCUAACGCGUUAAGUCGACCGCCUGGGGAGUACGGCCGCAAGGUUAAAACUCAAAUGAAUUGACGGGGGCCCGCACAAGCGGUGGAGCAUGUGGUUUAAUUCGAUGCAACGCGAAGAACCUUACCUACUCUUGACAUCCAGAGAACUUUCCAGAGAUGGAUUGGUGCCUUCGGGAACUCUGAGACAGGUGCUGCAUGGCUGUCGUCAGCUCGUGUUGUGAAAUGUUGGGUUAAAGUCCCGCAACGAGCGCAACCCUUAUCCUUUGUUGCCAGCGGUCCGGCCGGGAACUCAAAGGAGACUGCCAGUGAUAAACUGGAGGAAGGUGGGGAUGACGUCAAGUCAUCAUGGCCCUUACGAGUAGGGCUACACACGUGCUACAAUGGCGCAUACAAAGAGAAGCGACCUCGCGAGAGCAAGCGGACCUCAUAAAGUGCGUCGUAGUCCGGAUUGGAGUCUGCAACUCGACUCCAUGAAGUCGGAAUCGCUAGUAAUCGUAGAUCAGAAUGCUACGGUGAAUACGUUCCCGGGCCUUGUACACACCGCCCGUCACACCAUGGGAGUGGGUUGCAAAAGAAGUAGGUAGCUUAACCUUCGGGAGGGCGCUUACCACUUUGUGAUUCAUGACUGGGGUGAAGUCGUAACAAGGUAACCGUAGGGGAACCUGCGGUUGGAUCACCU
rnacentral:rRNA from 1 species